rnacentral:rRNA from 1 species
CCCUUAGACGUCCUGGGCCGCACGCGCGUUACACUGAUGCAUUCAACGAGCUUAUAACCUUGGCCGAGAGGCCUGGGCAAUCUUGUUAACGUGCAUCGUGAUAGGGAUAGAUUAUUGAAAUUAUUAAUCUUGAACGAGGAAUUCCUAGUAAACGCAGAUCAUCAAUCUGCAUUGAUUACGUCCCUGCCCUUUGUACACACCGCCCGUCUCACCUACCGAUUGGAUGGUCCGGUGAAGCCUCGGGAUUGUGGUUCUUGCCGCUUUAUUGUGGCGUGACCGCGAGAACUUGUCUAAACCUUACCAUCUAGAGGAAGGUGAAGUCGUAACA